UCGGUGCAAGCACGCAUGACACCGAGAGCUCCGAUCACUGUAGAGCACUGCAUGGUUGCGCAGAACGAGCAGCUCCUACCUCGCUGCCGUUCCUGGCUGCGCAAGAGCCUCUCGGACUCGGGGUCUGGUCGCGAUCGGCGAGGUCUGGCGCGGCGAAACGUGGAGGCUUCCUCAAAGCGUGCACACACACGUCGCCUCUCGUUCAGAGUGGACCGGCGGCCCGGACUGGAGUCCUAAACGCCUUGGUUUUGAUGCUUCUUCCGUCUCCCAACUUCUUCCACAGCACCGAAGACAGCGGGCGCGAUCUUUACGUUCACUGAAUGCGUCGAAAAGCCUCCACGUGCGAUGCACCGGAAAACGUGGUGCGGCUGGUGCCGGAACGGAACUGACGGAACUGCAUAACUUCGAGCUUUGAGUCAACGUGCACGGCAACAAACCUAUCGUGACACUAAGCCGCGGAUACCGCAUCGCCGGUCGACAGGGGCAAAUGGCCCGUUGCUCGUAUCGUGGGCCGUGAUUCGUACUCGGCCAACUCGGCGUCUUUUCGUGGCCCCUCGCGUCGUCGCAACCAGCCGCAAACAUACCAGCCCGCGACCGUGGCCGAUGUCGGAGAAAAGCGAAACCGAAACGUAAAGCUUCCGCCCAGUGGCUUCCGCUGCCGCGCCUUUUCUAACUUCCCGGCCAGUCCCGGUUUACACACUUCCGGUCGUCGCGGAGAUGGCGACGCAGCCAGACGUAGCGGUUUUGGCGCUGGCUCCUUCUGCGUUUUACGGGACAGAUGUUUUACGGUCCGUUUCUACUGCGUCUCUGGCUCUCAACUCGACGACGCCUCUCAUGGUUCAACCAGGCGUGGUCAGCCGGGGUCAGCACAGCGCGGCCGGCUCAACUCGUCCGAUCGCCGGACCGCAGGCGACUUCCGAUUUCGGCCGUUAGGCCUAGGAUCCGAAGGACUCUGUUUCCGUGAAGCGGUAAGCGAAUCUCGUCCCGUUUUCGUUCUACUUUUAAAUUACGUUAGGUGCGCUACAGUGUAAGCAUGCGUGCCAAGUGUUCGUGACAAUUUUGAACUAGAAUAAUUGUGCUUCAUUGCGGUUUGUCAUUUACGAAAAAGUAAAUCGAGCAAUGAACGAGGAGCCAUGCUUGAAAACGAUGUAUGUACGAUGUUAACUUCUACCUGGGCGGCUUAAAAAAAAGUCAAGACUGGUUACGGUUGGAUGCGAGGCUGGUCCCAAUGCAAUGGUAACCACUUAGAGCACCUUUCUGAACAGCAUGUAAGCAAUAUAGCGAUCAACGAGACGAGCGACGACGAGAAGCUACGAGUGCCGGCGCCGAGCGACGAAGAUUUCUCACUCUCGCUGCUUGCGCCGCUCGGUUCCUGGGCUUCUAGAAAACGUCGCUCAUCACCUUGAUCGCUCACACCAAUCGCUUUCAUAAUGUGUGUCUCGUCGCGCAGCUGACUACCGUGUUUAUUCAAACAUAUGUCGACCUUUUUUUUUCUUUUCUUUUAUUUAUUUAUUUUUUUUUUUUCGGAAAUCGUGACUAAAGAAUUUCGACCUACAUUCGCGACCAAAUUUUGCGACCGUACCGGAGGCAUGAAGCUAUCGAGUCACCGAGCCGGCGUUGCCGUAGAGCUGCGCCGCUUCUUGUUUCAAAAGGCUUUUGUUAAACAACCGAAAACAACAGCGGUGGCCGAUGCCGCUAUCGCGCGCACCUCUUGGGGCAUUGGAUUUCGCCAUCGCACCUCUAGCGUUCCCCUUGCUGGGCAAUGGGGAAGGAGAGGAACGCGAUGCGCCAUGCACUUUGUCCUCCAUCCUCGCAAACGCGCACAAAAAAAGAAAAAAAAAAAGAUGUUACUUUUGUUAGUUGCUUGAGGCGGCUCGGCUCGCGUGUUGCUCAUGGCGACACGGCGGCUUUGUUUGCGUCUUUGUAGUUUGUCUUUCGUUGCUUCGCUCCUUCUUUCGUUUCUUGUCGUCAUUUUGCAACGGUGUCAGUGAAGUAUUGUGGCGGAUUUGCGAGGAUGUCUACCAAGCUGUGAAGUGAUGUAAAUAAAGGUUUCUUUCUUUUGCCCAAAAUUUCCCCUGUUCUUAAAAAUAAAAAAAAGUCGACCUAUAUUUGAAUUGUUUUUUUUAUUCUCGGUGGGUCCAACAAAUAGAGUUCGACCUAUUUUCGAGUAAAUAUGUUAACUUUAAUUUUUAUUUUGGGUUACGUCGGACGUAACUCGAAUGCUUGACAGUUACGUUGGGCGUAUCUUUAAUUUUUAUUUCGGGUUCCGUCGGACGUAACGUUAGACACUGCGUUACACUUAAGAAAAAUAGGGGCUGAUGGUUCAUCAUAUAAACCAACCAUUUGUGUUUAAUUAAAGCGAAUCACUGGCCUAAAAAAAUACUGCUGUCCUAUAGGAAUGUAGCGCUUCAGAUAAAUUCGUUAAUUUUUGCUUUUAGUCUCUGCCCCACCAGAUACAACAUCUGGCCUAAAGCAGUGUUCUGGAUCUCCUUCCAAGACCUCAGGCGGGUCGUCAUUCAAUCCAGGAGGCGGCGGCAUCUCAUGGGCGUGUUGCUGGUGCUUCUUACUGGAUGGUGCUACCGAGGGAAAAGUGGUCGUGCUUGGGAAAGGCAAGUAUGGCCGCCGCCCAUAUGAGGGAGUCACUCCGAGAGCCUCACCAGAGUUUCCUGCCCGUGGUCGUUCUAAAUGUUUUUGUUGUAGCUACUUGGGUGCCUCAAGAUCUGGAGAUCCUAGUGGCCACAAGCUUGGACUCAAUCUUUUUCUGUGGUCUGGGCAGGACCAUGGGGGAGGUAAUCCCAGCAACAAGAGCAUCGCAGUAUCUCCCUGGCUGUGACUUUCGGUCUGCGUCACGACACGGGAGUCCUCGUGCCACCAGGUGUUAGGUGCGCUCACAGCACAAAUCUGGGUUGUGCUGAUCCUCUACGCACAAGUUAGGAACUCCUGAGUGGCAAGAGUGGGAGUUUGGUCUGACAGCUCAAGGGACACCAUUGUUCAGUAUUGAAUUUUUAAUAAUCUUCUUUUAAGCAAAGUUAAGCUUUGCUGCAUGCAGUUCUUGUAAAAAUAAAUACCUGCAACCAAAUUUACCAGGUCACGACA
rnacentral:lncRNA from 1 species